GCAGUGGUGGCUCAGUGGCAGAAUUCUCACCUUCCAUGCCAGAGACCUGGGUUCAAUUCCUAGCCAGUGCA
rnacentral:tRNA from 1 species